GUGAAAGCUAGGUUUGGGUGUCAGAUUUGGGCUAAGUUUUGGUUAGCAUUAGGUUUAAGGUUACAACUAAUGUAUGAUCUAGGGUUAUGAUUAAAUUAGGAUUAGGACUAGGUCUAGUGUUAAGUUAAGGUUUAAGUUUAGGCUGAUGUUUAGAGGUAGGGUUAGUGUUAAUGUCAGAGACAGGUUCAGGGGUAGUUUUAGGGCUAAGAUUAGGACUCGGAUUAGGGCUAGGCUUAGGGCUAGAUGUAAGGUUAGAGUUUGGUUGAGGUAAAAGUUUAGGGUUAGUGUUAUGGAUCAGAUUUGUUUUAGGGCUAAACCUAUGGUUAAGGCUAGAUUUAGGAUUAACUUUAGGGUUAGGGCUAGUGUUAGGGUUAGGUUUAGGGGUAGAAUUAGGGUUAGAUUUAGAGUUAGGUUUAGAUCUAGGGUUAGGGCAAGGUGUAAGGUUAGGGCUUAGGGCUAGGAAUAAGUUUACGGUAAAUGAUAGGUUUAGAAUUAGGGCUAGCGAUAGGGUGAGAGUUAUAAUUAGUCUUAAAGCUAGGGUUAGGGUUAGGUUUAGGAUUAGGACUAGGGUUAGUGUUAGAGUUAGUCCUAUGGUUUCGGUUUGGACUAGGGUUAGUGUUAGGGUUAGGGUUUGGGUUUGGUUUAGGGGAAGCAAUGGGGUUAUAACUAGGUUUAGGGCUAGGGAAAGGGUUAGAAGGUUAGGUUAUGAUUUAGGCUAGGUUUUGAGCUAGGAUGAGAGCUAGUGUUCAUAAUAGGGUUAGGGCUAGGAUUAGGGCUAGGGCUAAUGUCAGGUAUAGGGUUACAGUUAGGGAUAGGUUUCGGGUUAUGUUUAUAGUUAGGUCUAGUGUAAGGGUUAGAUUUAGGGUAAGGGUCAAGUUUACAGUUAUGUGUAUUAUUAGAUUCAGUGUAUGGCUUAAGGUGUGGUUUAAAUUAAGGUUUAGGUUUAGGGCUCAAAUUAGCAUUAGAGUUAGAGUUAGUGUUAGGGUAAUGAAUAGGCUUAGGAUUAGGGUUCAGGUUAGUUUUAGGGUAAUGGAUAGUUUUAGGAAUGUGAUAGGGUUAGGGUUAAACCUAGGGUUAGCAUUAGG
rnacentral:lncRNA from 1 species